AGUGGGGAAUAUUGCACAAUGGGCGAAAGCCUGAUGCAGCAACGCCGCGUGAGUGAUGAAGGCCUUCGGGUUGUAAAACUCUGUCUUUGGGGACGAUAAUGACGGUACCCAAGGAGGAAGCCACGGCUAACUACGUGCCAGCAGCCGCGGUAAUACGUAGGUGGCAAGCGUUGUCCGGAUUUACUGGGCGUAAAGGAUGCGUAGGUGGAUAUUUAAGUCAGAUGUGAAAUACCCGAGCUUAACUUGGGUGCUGCAUUUGAAACUGGAUAUCUAGAGUGCAGGAGAGGUAAGUGGAAUUCCUAGUGUAGCGGUGAAAUGCGUAGAGAUUAGGAAGAACACCAGUGGCGAAGGCGACUUACUGGACUGUAACUGACACUGAGGCAUGAAAGCGUGGGGAGCAAACAGGAUUAGAUACCCUGGUAGUCCACGCCGUAAACGAUGAGUACUAGGUGUAGGAGGUAUCGACUCCUUCUGUGCCGCAGUUAACACAAUAAGUACUCCGCCUGGGAAGUACGGUCGCAAGAUUAAAACUCAAAG
rnacentral:rRNA from 1 species